rnacentral:rRNA from 1 species
GACAGAGGGGGCAAGCGUUGCUCGGAAUCACUGGGCGUAAAGGGCGCGUAGGCGGUCUGUCGCGUCGAUCGUGAAAACUUGGGGCUUAACCCUGAGCUUGCGGUCGAUACGGGCAUGACUGGAGUUCGGCAGGGGAGACUGGAAUUCCUGGUGUAGCGGUGAAAUGCGCAGAUAUCAGGAGGAACACCGGUGGCGAAGGCGGGUCUCUGGGCCGAUACUGACGCUGAGGAGCGAAAGCAUGGGGAGCGAACAGG